ACGAACGCUGGCGGCAGGCCUAACACAUGCACGUCGAGCGAGGACUUCGGUUCUAGCGGCGGACGGGUGAGUAACGCGUGGGAAUGUGCCCUUCUCUACGGAAUAGCCCUGGGAAACUGGGAGUAAUACCGUAUACGCCCUAUUGGGGAAAGAUUUAUCGGAGAAGGAUCAGCCCGCGUUGGAUUAGGUAGUUGGUGGGGUAAUGGCCUACCAAGCCGACGAUCCAUAGCUGGUUUGAGAGGAUGAUCAGCCACACUGGGACUGAGACACGGCCCAGACUCCUACGGGAGGCAGCAGUGGGGAAUCUUAGACAAUGGGGGCAACCCUGAUCUAGCCAUGCCGCGUGAGUGAUGAAGGCCUUAGGGUUGUAAAGCUCUUUCAGCUGGGAAGAUAAUGACGGUACCAGCAGAAGAAGCCCCGGCUAACUCCGUG
rnacentral:rRNA from 1 species